CUUCUUUCCUAGUAUUUUUCAGCCGGGUUGGGUACCUUGUCUCCCUUGAUGCCUGGCAAGCCUUGAGGCCCUGGAAUUCCAGGGGGGCCCUGUUCUCCCUUGGGGCCCUGAGGAGAAAAGAAACCAGAGGAGUAAAUCAGACAGGCAAACUGAAGCCCUGGCUGGGGAGGCCUCACACAGGCUGGCAGGACUGGGCAGGUGCUGGAGCCGUGAGAGGACCCAGAUCCUGGGGCCAGCUGUGCCAGUCCUCCCUGGAGGCUGCUGUGCCAGGCCCUUACCUUCUGCCCCAUGAUGCCCUGGGGACCGAUUUCUCCUCGAGGCCCUGGCUCUCCCUGGGGGACAGAGAAACUGGAGGUGAGCAGAAGCCUGGUGGAUCCCUCCUUUCCACACCUGGCCAACCCCUACCCACCCUUGGGGCUCAGCGAAUUUGCUUCAUCAGGAAAAAUUUCCUUUCCUUCCUGUUCUUUGGGUCUCUGUACUUUUCCUUCAUAGGACCCACUACAAUUGUAGCCAUCAUGUAAUCACUUAUUUAAUGUCUGUCUCUCCCACAAACCUGUAAACUCCAUGUGAGUAAGAGACCAUCUAUCUCAGUGUCUUGCACAGUUGCAGAUAUUUGGUGACUGUCUAUGGAAUGAAUGAAUGACUCUGCCUGCUGGAUUCUCAGCCCCAGUCAGCUGGGCCAUCUGGAGAGGUCACACUCCAGGACAGAAGCAGUCCCCACCCUCUCUGCAUUGUACAUAGGGAAAUGGGGGCCCAGAGAGAGAAGGGAGCUUCCCUGGACAGUGGGUUAGUGGCAGAGUCCUGACUGGCACUGCUGGCACCCUGGGGUAGGGCUCUGCCCCACAGUCUCACCCAGACCCCAUACGCCCCGAGGGCAGGGUCCUCAGGCCUGGGGGUGGGGUGGGGAGAGCAAAGGAAGAGCCCUUGUGUCAGAGGAGGGGGUGCUUACCUCCUUCCCGGGGGGACCAGAGACUCCCGGGAAGCCCUGCUGGCCUGGCUCACCCUGCAGGAAAACACAGUUCUAAGGUUCAGUCUGUGUAGCCCUGUCAAGCCCUUGGCCUUGGAGAAGCCCAGUGAACCCUAAACAGAUUCUGGAACCAAAUGAGUUGGGGAGGGGAGAGGGUUCUUGGUCAGGUCCUCUGGACUCCACUGAUUUUCCUGUUUUUCUCCUCUGGACUUGCAGUCAUGCCAUCCUGUCUCCUGAGCCGGGAUGAGGGGUUUGGGGAGGAGGCAGGAGGGAGAUGUUUAGGCCCAAGGGACUUGUGUCUAGGCAGAGUUGCUGAGGCCCAGGUCUUGCCAUCUUUAAGCCAAGCCAUGGCCCCGGUCCCUGUCCCCAGGCUUCCUUUCUCAGAUGAAACCAACUUCAGCUUGGGGUCACCUCACCUUGUCUCCAGGGCCUCCUUUUGUUCCAGGCUGACCCGGCACACCCUGUAGAAGGAAGUUGACAUCAGUUUCUCCCCUGGCAGGGGGCAGUCCUGUGUAUUUGCUUCUUGGCCUCCUAGAUUCCUCCUCCACCUUGGAGGGGCUAAACAGCAGGAGGCCCAGCCGUAGCAUCAGGAUCUUGACAGUGCCCAGCCCCCAAUCCCUGGUGCGAGAGGAGUGGGUACAGAGGGGCCUGCCUACCAGGGCCUGUGGCCCACGGGGAGAAGAGCACACGUGAGUGCACACAGGAGCACAGUCUGCACAUGGACAUGUUAGCAGGCCUCGGCCUGAGCACCCCUGGCAGGGAGGGAUGGGGGUGCCUGGGAGGUGUGGGAUUGGGGUGGGUCUGAAUGGUGAGAUGGCAGAGAUGGGAAGGGCAUUCCAAACAGAGGGACCAGCAAAGGCCUGAAGGAGUGGAGGUUGAAAAGCCAAGGCAGUGUUGAGAAGGGAGAGGACGUAAAGGACAGUGGCUGAUGAGGCAGCAGGGAUGGGCUGGGCUCAGAUUAUGGUGGUCCUUGGAUGCUAAGAUGAGCUGUUAGAACAAGGAGUGUAGCUGUCCUGUUCAUAACUGUUUCCCUGCCACUUACUGUACCUCAGUAACUCUACUGAAUGACCGGACAGAAUGACUUUUCCCACGGGGAGGCAGUGGCGGGCCAUGGAAGGCACUUUAGCAGGGAAAUGGUCAGAUUCUACUUAGCCAAUGUGGAGGACUGGAUUGGCCAAAGAGAAGGCUGGAGCAACUGUCAAAGGCAGAGAUGGUGAAGAGGCCUGGGCUGGGUGGGGACAAGGACUAGAGCCCUGGGUGUGUGAUAUCGAUCUCAUCAGCCAGUCACACCACCUUUGGGAGGUGGGAGACACAGUGCCUGGCGUCUCGGCAGAAAAUAAGCAACUUGUCUUGUGGCAGCCCCCAGGGCUCCACCCCAUACUCACCGCUAGGCCCUGGUGGCCUGGGUUUCCUGGCCGCCCUGCCUGUCCUGCACUGCCCUGCAACAGACAGAGACCCAGAGGCACAAAUGAGAGCCCCAGCCAGAGGGUCCCUGGCUCUCACUCAAGUGUGGGCAGGGAAACUGAGGCCCAGAGGCAAGAAGGAACGUGUCAAUGACAUGCCUGAGGAUUCUAGGCUCCUAGGCUCCAGGAUCAGUGUGGUGGGUUUCAGAGCUUCAGCUGGGAGAAGCCCUGACCCUUGUCCCAAAUCUACCAGCAGUCCCCACUCCUACCUUCAUGCCAGGUGUGCCUGGGGUCCCGUCCUUGCCAUCAAUGCCUGGGGGGCCCUGCUCAGGAGGAAAGUUGAAGGGAGAUUCACAAUGGGGAGACCUGGAGUCGGGCCACCCACCCAUGUCCUUCUGUGACAGCAGCAGUAUGCAGGUGGAAAACUAAGGCACAGAAAGAGGGCAUUUCCUGAAGCAACAGAGCCAGCCCACCAGCAACAGAGUUCAGCCUAGAAUUUUAGGCUCCUCAUCCUCUGGAGGCUUGGAGAGCUGCCUGGACCCUGCCCUCAGUCUACUUACGGUUGCUCCCUUUGGGCCUGUUAUUCCCUGGGGUCCUCGAACACCUUGGCUGCCCUGCAAAGGAGAUAGACAUCAGGUCACCUUUAGGAGGAUGAACCCUGUCUGACUGUUCAGAGAAGGGGACAGCUGAGAACAGUGACCUCUGGAUCCUAGCGUCCCUGUAGCACAGGCCAUGCUGUGCAGGGGCUGGAAGAGAGAUCCCUGGACCCAGGGGAAGGGAUUAGGGGUCAGCACCAAGCAGACCUAGCAGGAGUGGCAGCAGGACCCACGGUGGGGGGAGCCAGCAUCACUGAGACCCACCAAGGCACUGAGCGACACUUAAAUGCAAAGAAACACAACCACCAAAUACAAUGUGUGGACUUGGUUUGAGUCUUGAUUCGAACAAGAACCCUGAAAAGACAUUUUUGAGAUCACUGGGGAAAACUGAACACAGACUGAUGACUAGGUGAUGUUCGGGAAGAAAUGAUAAUUUUGUUGGUGUGAUCGUGGUAUUGUGAUUACGUGAGGAAACAGUCCUUAUUUUUGAGGGAUACGUACAGAAAAGUGAAAGGGAUACAAGGACGUAACAUUAAGAAUUUGCUUGAAAAUAUCAAGCAAAGCAAUAAAGGGAAGGAAGGAAGGGAGAAAGAAGAAGGAUGAAGUAAGUGUGGCAAAAUGUUAAUUUGGGGAGACGGGUACAUAGGGGUCCACUAUACCAUUCUCUCUCCUUUUGUGUAAAUUUAGAAACUUGCAUAAUAAAAAACUAAGUAAAUAACUAACUUUACUUUCUGCUCAAUAUUUCUGUAAACUCAA